GCUGGGCGCGGUGGCGCACACCUGUAAUCCCAGCGGCUCCAGAGGCUGAGGCAGGAGGAUUGUGAGUUCAAAGCCAGCCUCAGCAAAAGCAAGAUGCUAAGCAACUCAGUGAGAUCAUGUCUCUA
rnacentral:sRNA from 1 species